GUUCCUGUGUCUCGGUGUUCCUCGGUGUUCCUGUGUUCCUGUUUCCUCUCUGUUCCCGUGUCUCGGCGCAGGGAUGGUCAUUGUUAAACUUUGGCAGGCGCCGCGGCCAGUUUUAACUUUCUCACAAGGAAAUUGAUCUGGUCUACCACAAGCCGUUUGGCAAGCUCGUUUACAGCUGUGUAUCUCAGAACUUUCCGGAUCAUGUGGGGAGACGAGUUGGACUGAGAUCUGCGUCGUCUCCGCCAAAAAAAAAGGCCAGACUCUCACCAGGCAACCCGGAGAACCACUGGAGAACAGAAAAGAACAUUGACUUGAUUUGCAUAUAUUUCAGUAUAACAUGGUUUAGUAUGAGCAGGUUUCAGUAUAACCUGGUUUAGUAUGGGCAGGUUUCAGUAUAACCUGGUUUAGUAUGAGCAGGUUUCAGUAUAACCUGGUUUAGUAUGAGCAGGUUUCAGUAUAACAUGGUUUAGUAUGAGCAGGUUUAGUAUGAGCAGGUUUAGUAUGAGCAGGCUGUGGCAUGAGCAGACAUCUAUGUACUCUACUCUGGAAGCAGUAUCGUGCCCCUGGGGAUGCAGCAGGCUCACAAUGCUGCGUUUACGAAAUGGAGUCUAGAUCACCUUUCCUCCUCUGUCUAUGUGUGCUGGUCCAAGAGUCUCAAUAGCACAGCCCCCUGCCCUGUGAGGUCACCCGGCAUAUUACACCACCUCCGCCUGGGCAUGCUGCCCCUCGUUGCCCCGCUGCCCAGCCGCUAAUCUGCCCUGGUGGGGGGCGCGCAGGGGCAGGAUUAGCGAGGAUCUCCGCUGCGGCCGCCUGGUUUCCUGCCGAUGAGACCUCGCCGUGGGCCAUGGCCUUUGGUUCACCCCUGUGACCCGAUCAGGCCUCACUAGGCCCAUUCAUGCAGCC
ensembl:lncRNA